AUUGCAAUGAGCAAAUAGAUACUCGCUGCUACGCCAAACACUACUGUUCCAACUUUAGGCUUUAUAUUAAACAUCAUUUACGUACCAGCUUUCAGACAAGGGCAAGACUCGAAUUAAUGUUUGGUCAAGAACCCAAUCCAAGAGCCAACACAGCAACAACGUCUGGAGACUCUGUCUGCUUCAUUCAGCAAGUUCAAAACUAAUCCAACUUAAUUCAUUUUCAUCAUACAUCUAAAUAAUCCCAUUAUGCUUGCAAAUUUAUUAAAACAAAAAACAGACAAAUAUUAUAUUAUACUUACGGCUACAAAUUAUGAUCUAAUAUUUUUUAAGUUAUAGAAAAAACUAAAACGUUUUGGCUAUUCUAACUGUUAUAUAUUCUUCAACAACAACGAAAAAAAAAACUGUUAUAUAAUAUAUGCCAUCAUGAUUCAUUGCUUGAUAUUUGACCAAAUUUAGUAUGGUAAAAAUACCCCAGUCAUAAUUUUAAUUAUAUAUCUUCUUUUGCAUUGACUGAUUAUUUUUGAAAACUUUUCUUUUUCAAAUCCCAUUGUUUUAAAGAAUAAAAUCCUAUAAUAGGAAUGGCACCUCUUUUUUAAUUAUUCUACAUUGCAAAUCUAAUUUAGAGUUAAAAAGGUAAGACUUUAUUUUUUUAAUGUUGCCAAAACAAAUAUAAAAACAGUUACUCGCUUGCCCAUAAAGUUAUGGAAACAAAUGUAUUUCCGUUGACUGUGUUGUCUAAAUAACUACGUAACAUAUUUGUUUCUGUUCAAGAGUUAUACACUGAACAAAUAUGGCUAAGUCGUCUCCGGUGAAGAUACCGGCCACUAGUCUAGAGGAUUAUGCUCACAGUCCAUUCCAUUACGCCGUCGUUUUGGGAGACCACGUUGGUCUAACUCGUCUUGUUUCCUCCUUGCCUAAGCUAACCGAGCCAGAACAAAUACACACCGAGUCAGACUCCGCGAGCCAGGAGCGACUCGCCGAGCAAAUCUCCGCCUCCAUCGACCGCCGCGACGUUCCCUUGCGCGAGACGCCUCUCCAUCUAGCGGUUCGCAUAGGCGACGUUUUCGCCGCGGAGACGAUCUCCUCCGCCGGCGCCGACAUCACGCUCCAGAACGCCGCGGGAUGGAGCCCCUUGCACGAGGCGCUUUGCCGCCGGAACGCCGAGAUCACGGAGACGGUGCUCCGGCAUCAGCGCCGCUCGGCUUGGUGCAAAUGGAGACGGAGGCUGCCGCAUUUGAUCGCCGUCCUCCGCCGCAUGAGAGACUUCUACAUGGAGAUUUCUUUCCACUUCGAGAGCUCCGUGAUCCCCUUCGUCGGAAAGAUAGCUCCUUCCGACACGUACAGGAUCUGGAAACGCGGCGGAGAUCUGCGCGCGGACACUUCUUUGGCCGGGUUCGACCGGUUCAAGAUCCGCCGCGCGAGCCAGAGCUUUCUUUUCCUCGGAGACGGAGACGAGUUUCUCGACGUGGCUCCCGGUACGUUGCUUGUGUUGAACCGAGACGAUAAAACGAUCUCAAACGCGUUUGAAAACGCGAAUGAUCCGAUUAGCGACGGUGAGAUCGCCGGUUUUUGCUCUCGGACGAGCUUGUACCGUCCGGGGAUGGACGUUACGAAGGCAGAGCUCGUUGAGAUGACGAACUGGCGACGGCAGGUGAAGACUGAAACGGUCGGAGAGUGGAGAGCUAAAGGCUACGAGGUUGCGAACGUGAGUUUCAGUUUCAAGUCGAGGAGAGUUGUCGCUGUCGGAGAAACGGAGCAGAACUCGGCUUUGGACUGUAAGAAUAAUCGGAGUUUCUCAGAACCGCAGAGGAGGCCGCACGGUUGUUCCAACGCUGAGGAGAAAGAGUUUCAGCCGUCGUCGUCGUCGCGGAGGAGUAGAAAGUCGGUUUCUUUACCGGCGGAGGGGGUUUCGGUGGCGGGUUCGGUGCCGAGGAUCAAAGAGAAGGAGUAUGUGAAGAGUUUGAGUCCUUCGGUUUGGUUAACGGAGGAUUUUCCUUCGAAGACGGAGGAGCUGCUUCCCCUGCUUGAUAUUUUAGCCAAUCAUGUUAAAGCUGUUCGGAGAAUGAGGGAGCUGCUCACCGCUAAGUUCCCGCCGGGAACUUUCCCGGUAAAGUUGUCGAUACCGGUGAUACCAACGGUGAAGGUAGUCGUGACAUUCAGCAAGUUUGUGCCUCUCCGGCCGAUAGAUCAGUUCUACACACCGCUAUCAAGCCCGAGACACCUCUCGGCGGCAGUCGAAGACCAAUGCGACGUGGAGAGUGAGGAAACAUCCGACAUAGGAACGUCAACAAGUUCACGCUCAUCGUUUUCAACGUCGUCUUGGAGGAGACUGAGCAUCACAGGCACCGGGAAAAGUGCACAGCGACGGCUGGAGGAGGAGCAGGCACAAAUGGUGGAUCCCUUUUCGAUAGCGACAGGGUAUAAGUGGACGAGCAACUCAGAUAAAUCAGGUAAAAGAAUCACUCUAUCAUGUGGAUGUGCUCAAGUAGUUCUCCGGGAAAAAUAAACAUCUUGGGCUGAAAGUUCUAAUGGGCCAAUGUUUCAAGGGUAGAUCACUAAUAGACCUAUGUGUUUCAUUUUUGUUGUUGUAAACUCAUCAAAGGUUAAAUAAUUGAUCUAAGAUUCCAAGAUGAUUCUUAGAUCUUGAAUUAAUAAUUAAAUGAGAUGCAGGGAUGUUUUGUUUAUAGGCUUUUGAUAACCUAACUCUUGUUGAUUAGUAUCUGUAACAAAACUGUAGAGUAAAAUAAUAGAAUAAAAAGCAAAAACUAGAUGGGGUUAGGUUGUUUUUUAUAUAACCUGUUCCUUUUAUGCUUUUGGAAAAGUUGAAAGAUUCCAAACAACGUUUGCUUUGCAAGUUGGAAACGAACUAACAUGAGUUGGCAAGUCCAUUCCAAGACAACCCAAAUAAUCAUAUUUCAAUAUUUUAUAUAAAACAUAAAGACUUUAGGUUAAAGAUGACAACCUAAAUAUAUUGUUUACUAAUAUCUACACUCAGAAAUGAAAUAAAUUGACAACCCAUCCACUAUUAGUGUCUCCAUCCUCACAUUUCCACUUAUCUUGCUCAUUCAUCAUCGUUUAUUUCAUCUUUGCCAAGAAUUCGAGAAUGGCGAGUGAAGCACCGAGUUGGGCGGAUCAGUGGGGGAACGGAGGAAUUGGGGUGAUGGCAGCGAAGGAGGAGACCACUGACGGUAAGAAAGACGCCUCCGGGAAGAAGUCCAGCAAGGCCAAAGCAGGGUUUAACCGAGCUAAGAUGGUUGCAUUUAUUGGUGU